rnacentral:rRNA from 1 species
UACGAACCGUACGAACGUUAUUCGGAAUCACUGGGCUUAAAGGGUGCGUAGGCGGCGCGGAAAGUUGGGUGUGAAAUCCCUCGGCUCAACCGAGGAAUUGCGCCCAAAACUGCCGUGCUUGAGGGAGACAGAGGUGAGCGGAACUAAGGGUGGAGCGGUGAAAUGCGUUGAUAUCCUUAGGAACACCGGUGGCGAAAGCGGCUCACUGGGUCUCUUCUGACGCUGAGGCACGAAAGCUAGGGGAGCGAACGGG